ACGGCUCAGUAACACGUGGCUAACCUACCCUCAGGACGGGGACAAACCCGGGAAACUGGGGCUAAUAUCCGAUAGGCGAGGAAUCCUGGAAUGGUUCUUCACCCAAAGGGCAUUGGAAACAUGCUUUCUCUGUCGCCUGGGGAUGGGGCCGCGACCGAUCAGGUUGUUGGUGAGGUAAUGGCUCACCAAGCCUUUAACCGGUACGGGCCAUGAGAGUGGUAGCCCGGAGAUGGGUACUGAGACAAGGACCCAGGCCCUACGGGGCGCAGCAGUCGCGAAAACUCCGCAAUGCACGAAAGUGUGACGGGGCUACCCCGAGUGCCGUCCGCUGAGGAUGGCUUUUCCUUGGUGUAACUAGCCGGGGGAAUAAGGAGAGGGCAAGACUGGUGUCAGCCGCCGCGGUAAUACCAGCUCUCCGAGUGGUAGGGAUGAUUAUUGGGCUUAAAGCGUCCGUAGCCGGCUUAGCAAGUUUCCUGUUAAAUUCAGCGACCUAAUCGUUGAGCCGCGGGAAAUACUACUAGGCUAGGAGGCGGGAGAGGUCGACGGUACUUCCGGGGUAGGGGUGAAAUCCUAUAAUCCCGGGAGGACCACCAGUGGCGAAGGCUGUCGACUAGAACGCGCUCGACGGUGAGGGACGAAAGCUGGGGGAGCGAACCGGAUUAGAUACCCGGGUAGUCCCAGCUGUAAACGAUGCGGGCUAGGUGUUGGGGUGGCUACGUGCCACUUCAGUGCCGCAGGGAAGCCAUUAAGCCCGCCGCCUGGGGAGUACGGCCGCAAGGCUGAAACUUAAAGGAAUUGGCGGGGGAG
rnacentral:rRNA from 1 species